rnacentral:lncRNA from 1 species
AUGACACCUCUCACUGGCCGCUCAGCUUCCUUCGGCCCUCUGUGCCUCGGUUUCCCCACCUGUGGGACGUGUGUCCAGGGCGCAUCUGGAGGGACUCGGUGCCUCGGUUUCCCCACCUGCGCGACGUGUGUCCGGGGUGUGUCUGGAGGGACUCUGUGCCUCAGUUUCCCCACCUUGGGACGUGUCUCCAGGGCGGGUCUACAGGGACUCUGUGCCUCGGUUUCCCCACGUGUGGGACGUGUGUCCGGGGCGCGUCUGGAGGGACUCUGUGCCUCGGUUUCCCCACGUGUGGGACGUGUGUCCGGGGCGCGUCUGGAGGGACUCUGUGCCUCGGUUUCCCCACCUGCAGCGCGUGUGUCCGGGGCACGUCUGGAGGGACUCUGUGCCUCGGUUUCCCCACCUGCGGGACGUGUGUCCGGGGCGCGUCUGGAGGGACUCUGUGCCUCGGUUUCCCCACCUGCGGGGCGUGUGUCCGGGGCACGUCUGGAGGGACUGUGCCUCGGUUUCCCCACCUGCGGGGCGUGUGUCCAGGGCGCAUCUGGAGGGACUCUGUGCCUCAGUUUCCCCACGUGUGGGACCUGUGUCCAGGGAGCGUCCGGAGGGACUCUGUGCCUCGGUUUCCCCACGUGUGGGACGUGUGUCUGGGGCACGUCUGGAGGGACUCUGUGCCUCGGUUUCCCCACCUGCGGGGCGUGUGUCCAGGGCGCAUCUGGAGGGACUCUGUGCCUCAGUUUCCCCACCUGUGGGACCUGUGUCCAGGGAGCGUCCAGAGGGACUCUGUGCCUCAGUUUCCCCACGUGUGGGACGUGUGUCCGGGGCGUGUCUGGAGGGUCUCUGUGCCUCGGUUUCCCCACGUGUGGGACGUGUGUCCGGGGCGCGUCUGGAGGGACUCUGUGCCUCGGUUUCCCCACGUGUGGGACGUGUGUCCAGGGCGUGUCUGGAGGGUCUCUGUGCCUCGGUUUCCCCACCUGUGGGACCUGUGUCCAGGGCGGGUCCACAGGGACUCUGUGCCUCGGUUUCCCCACCUGCGGGGCAUGUGUCCGGGGCGCGUCUGGAGGGACUCUGUGCCUCGGUUUCCCCACGUGUGGGACCUGUGUCCGGGGCGCGUCUGGAGGGACUCUGUGCCUCAGUUUCCCCACCUGCGGGACGUGUGUCCGGGGCGCGUCUGGAGGGACUCUGUGCCUCGGUUUCCCCACCUGCGGGGCGUGUGUCCGGGGCGCGUCUGGAGGGACUCCGUGCCUCGGUUUCCCCACCUUGGGACGUGGUCUCUCUCAGAGAAAGCGUUUGCAGACGUGUAGUGUGACGCAUGCUCAGGGUGGGCAGACGCCCUCUUCGGGCUCCCUGGCACUCGGCUCAUGCCUCCCCCGUCACCCCCGGGACACGGGCCAGGAAGAAAGCUGUCUGCGGCCUCGGAAAAGAAGGAAAUGA